rnacentral:misc_RNA from 1 species
GCUAAUUAUUUUUUAACUUCCGGUAGUACGGACAUCCGUGAAGGAAGAAUGACCCGUGAAAAGUUGCCUUGUGCUUGGAUCACGUUUGAUAUAAUGGAAAACAUUGUGUAAAGACUUUUCUCUCUACUCUUUAUUCAUACAUGCAGUCAUGAUUCUGAGGAAACCAGUAACACAUUUAUUCCGACAGGAUCCAUCUUUAUCAAAACACCUGGCAUUAGCCUUUACCAAUGGCAGUUGGCACUUCAACAGCCAAACCAAAAUUUCAGACAAUAGAUUUUAUAAAAGACAAUCCAAGUUCAUCUGCUUGAACCAAGAUUUUUUACCUCAGUCUAAAAAGCUGUGCAGUGUAAGCCAGAUGGACAAAGUCAACAUGAAUUGUGGGAGCAAAAUCUUGCCAACAGACAAUGUUUACUGGAGACAUGCACAUAGCUUUCACUCAGUGACAGUAUCUUCCAAUGUACUAGGGGAAAAUGUGUCCGCAUCAAACAGUCAGUGUUUAAAGAAUGGUAGCUUUGUUCCAAGAAGAAGCGCAAGUUUUUCUCCCCAAGGAAUACUGGAGGCAUCCCCACCAGCUUUACAACCUUAUAUGCGAUUAAUAAGAUUUGACAAACCUAUUGGUACGUGGUUACUGUAUUGGCCCUGCACCUGGAGUAUUGCCCUGGCCUCCGCCCCUGGAACUCUCCCAAGCCUGUGGCUGCUGGCUCUGUUUGGGGCUGGCGCCUUCUUCAUGAGGGGGGCGGGGUGCAUCAUCAAUGACAUGUGGGAUAAGGACAUUGACAGGAAAGUGGAGAGGACAAAGCUACGCCCCAUGGCCAGCGGCGAGCUGUCCCAGUUUCAGGGGCUGGUGUGUUUGGCGGGGAUGUUGUCUGUGUCUCUUGGUAUUCUUGUGCAGCUCAACUGGUACAGUGUGGUUCUUGGAGCUGCAUCAAUGGGGUUAGUGAUCACCUAUCCCCUCGCCAAAAGGAUCACAUUCUGGCCCCAGGCAUUCUUAGGGCUGACUUUUAACUACGGAGCUCUGCUUGGCUGGUCCGCUGUCACAGGUUCCCUCGACCCUCUGUCCGUCCUUCCUCUGUAUUCUAGUGGCUUUUGUUGGACCAUGGUCUACGACACCAUUUAUGCUCAUCAAGACAAGUAUGAUGACAUGCUGAUUGGGGUGAAGUCCACUGCCCUGAAGUUUGGGGAUAACACCAAAGUCUGGCUUACUGGGUUUGGGACUGCCAUGGUGUCCCUCCUUGUUCUGACGGGGAAAAUGUGUGACCAGACCUGGCCAUACUACACAGCUGUGUCGCUGACCGCCACCCAUAUAGCUCACCAGUUGUAUACGGUAGACCUUAACAACCCCGAUGACUGUGCCAGCAAGUUCCGCUCCAACACCCAGCUUGGCUUUGUCAUGUUCAUGGGAAUUGUUUUAGGAAAUCUCUUGAAAAAGGAGGAAAAAAGUUCCGACAAAUCAGUGGAACAGGAAUAAUCAGUUACCCAUUGAUAAACUUUCUCAAAGAAAUUUUAAUAGAUUUAACAUUUUUGCAGCUUUUUUCUUGUUAAAGCAUGUAAAAUAUGUACAUUGUAUAAUAUUUUAUGAGCAAAGCUGCAUUGAAAUUAAGAUUAGUUAAAUCUAAUAAGUUUUUAAAAUUUAUGGGUUUUUUUUUAAAAAUCUUUGUAUGUUUUAUACUUUUAUUCGUCCUGUAUUUGAAUAUGCUUGUCUAACAGGCUUGUAAAAUCCUUCCUUAAUUGUUAUUAUGCUCUCUUCAUAUGAGAUCUAUGUAUUUCCAGGAUAUAUAACUCAGGAAAUAAAAAG